rnacentral:rRNA from 1 species
CCUACGGGAGGCAGCAGUGGGGAAUUUUGGACAAUGGGCGAAAGCCUGAUCCAGCAAUGCCGCGUGCAGGAAGAAGGCCUUCGGGUUGUAAACUGCUUUUGUACGGAACGAAACGGUCUGCUUUAAUACAGUGGGCUAAUGACGGUACCGUAAGAAUAAGCACCGGCUAACUACGUGCCAGCAGCCGCGGUAAUACGUAGGGUGCGAGCGUUAAUCGGAAUUACUGGGCGUAAAGCGUGCGCAGGCGGUUUAUAUAAGACAGUUGUGAAAUCCCCGGGCUCAACCUGGGAAUUGCAUCUGUGACUGUAUAGCUAGAGUACGGUAGAGGGGGAUGGAAUUCCGCGUGUAGCAGUGAAAUGCGUAGAUAUGCGGAGGAACACCGAUGGCGAAGGCAAUCCCCUGGACCUGUACUGACGCUCAUGCACGAAAGCGUGGGGAGCGAAACAGGAUUAGAUACCCUGGUAGUCCACGCCCUAAACGAUGUCACUGGUUGUUGGGUGCAUUAGUACUCAGUAACGAAGCUAACGCGUGAAGUUGACCGGCCUGGGGAGUACGGCCGCAAGGUUGAAACUCAAAGGAUUGACGG